AUAUAAAGGACAUUCAACCAGCCUCCUUCGUCAGGUGUGUGUGUGUCAGGUGUCUCACCAGGUGUACAACUUCUACAUUACACGGUGUAUUUCUUCUGACUAGUUCACAGGCAUUCAACAAUCUACCCAGUCAGCGCAGCAACUACUACAACAACCACCAGCACCACUAGCACUACUAGCAUCCCUACCACCACCACUAGUACCACCAGCAUCCCUACCACACUAGUCCACCAGCAUCCCUACCACCACCAGCACCACUAGCACCACCAGCAUCCCUAUCCCCACCAGCACCACUAGCACCACCAGCAUCCCUACCCCCACCAGCACCACUAGCACCACCAACAUCCCUACCACCACCACCACCAUCAUGAAGACCUAUGUCGUUCUCGUGUUGUGUGGGGCCGCCGUGGUGGUGGCUGCCGCCCCGGUUCCCCAGCAGGGAGACGCCACGCGAGAUGGUCGCUUUUUACCCUUCCCUGUCCCCAUUCCCAUCCUUAUCAACACCGCCUCCGGCAGCACCUCCCUGUCCGGCCUGUUUGCCAACAAGCCGGGCUUCGCGCUCCUCUGCCCCCCUAUUGUAUGUGGCACAGUAGCAGCAGCAGGAGCAGCAGGAGCCACAGCCACUGCGGCCCAUGGGGAAGCCACAGCUACUGCGGCCCAUGGGGAGGCCACGGCUACCCAUGGGUAAGACACAUCGUUGCUUGACACUGUCUUGGCCCUCUUCCCGUAUCUUCACCAUUAGUUUACCGUACAAUCACCGUCCAUUCACCGUCACCUGAGGUAAAGUUGAGUCACUGUGGCCUCGCUAAGAACUGAACGAGUCCAGUUGGUGUUAAGGUCACCGUUAACUGUUGAUGACCUUGUGUAUACGACCCAGAAGUACUGUAAAGUUACCUCAAUAAAGAUGUUACCUUCUC